GACGAACGCUGGCGGCGUGCUUAACACAUGCAAGUCGAACGGAAAGGCCCUGCUUUUGUGGGGUGCUCGAGUGGCGAACGGGUGAGUAACACGUGAGUAACCUGCCCUUGACUUUGGGAUAACUUCAGGAAACUGGGGCUAAUACCGGAUAGGAGCUCCUGCUGCAUGGUGGGGGUUGGAAAGUUUCGGCGGUUGGGGAUGGACUCGCGGCUUAUCAGCUUGUCGGUGGGGUAGUGGCAUACGAAGGCUUUGACAGGUAGCCGGCCUGAGAGGGUGACCGGCCACAUUGGGACUGAGCUACGGCCCAGACUCCUACGGGAGGCAGGAGUGGGGAAUAUUGCACAAUGGGCGGAAGGCUGAUGCAGCAACGCCGCGUGCGGGAUGACGGCCUUCGGGUUGUAAACCGCUUUCGCCUGUGACGAAGCGUGAGUGACGGUAAUGGGUAAAGAAGCACCGGCUAACUACGUG
rnacentral:rRNA from 1 species